rnacentral:rRNA from 1 species
CUACGGGUGGCUGCAGUGGGGAAUAUUGGACAAUGGGGGAAACCCUGAUCCAGCGAUGCCGCGUGAGUGACGAAGGCCUUCGGGUUGUAAAACUCUUUUAACUGGGAAGAUUAUGACGGUACCAGUGGAAUAAGCACCGGCUAACUUCGUGCCAGCAGCCGCGGUAAUACGAAGGGUGCAAGCGUUGUUCGGAAUAACUGGGCGUAAAGAGCGUGUAGGUGGUUUGGAAAGUGAGAUGUGAAAUCCCUGGGCUUAACCUAGGAAUGGCAUUUCAUACUAUCAGACUAAGUGUGCGAGAGGGGAAAAUGGAAUGGCGAGUGGAGCAGUGACAUGCGUUGAUAUUCGUUGGAACAUCAGAGGCGAAGGCGAUUUUCUGGCUCGUAACAGACACUGAGGCGCGAAAGCGUGGGGAGCAAACAGGAUUAGAUACCCUCGUAGUC